rnacentral:rRNA from 1 species
AGGCGAACCCGCGAGGGGGAGGCAAAUCUCCAAAAGCCGUCCCAGUUCGGAUUGCAGGCUGCAACCCGCCUGCAUGAAGUUGGAAUCGCUAGUAAUCGCGGAUCAGCAUGCCGCGGUGAAUACGUUCCCGGGCCUUGUACACACCGCCCGUCACACCAUGAGAGUCGGGAACACCCGAAGCCCGUAGCCUAACCGCAAGGGGGGCGCGGCCGAAGGUGGGUUCGAUAAUUGGGGUGAAGUCGUAACAAGGUAUC